AUGCACGCUAGCUACAGGCUUCACCCAUGCAAGUCGAGGGGAAACGACAUCGAAAGCUUGCUUUUGAUGGGCGUCGACCGGCGCACGGGUGAGUAACGCGUAUCCAACCUGCCCAUCACUUGGGGAUAACCUUGCGAAAGUAAGACUAAUACCCAAUGAUAUCUCUAGAAGACAUCUGAAAGAGAUUAAAGAUUUAUCGGUGAUGGAUGGGGAUGCGUCUGAUUAGCUUGUUGGCGGGGUAACGGCCCACCAAGGCAACGAUCAGUAGGGGUUCUGAGAGGAAGGUCCCCCACAUUGGAACUGAGACACAGUCCAAACUCCUACGGGAGGCAGCAGUGAGGAAUAUUGGUCAAUGGGCGAGAGCCUGAACCAGCCAAGUAGCGUGCAGGAAGACGGCCCUAUGGGUUGUAAACUGCUUUUAUAAGGGAAUAAAGUGAGAGUCGUGACUCUUUUUGUAUGUACCUUAUGAAUAAGGACCGGCUAAUUCCGUG
rnacentral:rRNA from 1 species